UACGUAGGGUGCAAGCGUUGUCCGGAAUUAUUGGGCGUAAAGAGCGCGCAGGCGGUCGUUCAAGUCGAGUGUGAAAGCCCCCGGCUCAACUGGGGAGGGUCACUCGAUACUGAUCGACUUGAAGGCAGGAGAGGGAAGCGGAAUUCCCGGUGUAGUGGUGAAAUGCGUAGAGAUGUGGAGGAACACCAGUGGCGAAGGCGACUUUCUGGUCUGUAACUGACGCUGAGGCGCGAAAGCGUGGGGAGCAAGC
rnacentral:rRNA from 1 species